CGGCAACAGCUCAAAUUUGAAAUCUGGCUCUUUCAGGGUCCGAGUUGUAAUUUGUAGAAGAUGCUUCGGGUGAGGCUCUGGUCUAAGUUCCUUGGAACAGGACGUCAUAGAGGGUGAGAGCCCCGUCUGGUUGGAUGCCGAGCCUCUGUAAAGCUCCUUCGAC
rnacentral:rRNA from 1 species